rnacentral:rRNA from 1 species
UGCAGUCGAACGCAUCCUUCGGGGUGAGUGGCAGACGGGUGAGUAACGCGUGGGAAUCUACCCAUCCCUACGGGAUAGCUCCGGGAAACUGGAGAUAAUACCGUAUACGUCCUCCGGGAGAAAGAUUUAUCGGGGAUGGAUGAGCCCGCGUUGGAUUAGCUAGUUGGUGGGGUAAUGGCCUACCAAGGCGACGAUCCAUAGCUGGUCUAAGAGGAUGAUCAGCCACAUUGGGACUGAGACACGGCCCAAACUCCUACGGGAGGCAGCAGUGGGGAAUAUUGGACAAUGGGCGCAAGCCUGAUCCAGCCAUGCCGCGUGAGUGAUGAAGGCCCUAGGGUUGUAAAGCUCUUUCAGUGGGGACGAUAAUGACGGUACCCACAGAAGAAGCCCCGGCUAACUUCGUGCCAGCAGCCGCGGUAAUACGAAGGGGGCUAGCGUUGUUCGGAAUUACUGGGCGUAAAGCGCACGUAGGCGGACAUUUAAGUCAGGGGUGAAAUCCCGGGGCUCAACCCCGGAACUGCCUCUGAUACUGGGUGUCUUUGAGUGUGGUAGAGGUGAGUGGAAUUUGCGAGUGUAGAGGUGAAAUUCGUAGAUAUUCGCAGGAACACCAGUGGCGAAAGGCGGCUCACUGGACCACAACUGACGCUGAGGUGCGAAAGC